GCAGGCGUCGGACAGGCCUCCGAUGGGACUGCCGGGGUCUGAUUCGUAAUCAGUAGGUCGUCAGUUCAAUCCUGACCGUCGGCACCA
rnacentral:tRNA from 1 species